GUAGGCGGCAAGCGUUGUCCGGAAUUAUUGGGCGUAAAGCGCGCGCAGGCGGUUCUUUAAGUCUGAUGUGAAAGCCCACGGCUCAACCGUGGAGGGUCAUUGGAAACUGGAGAACUUGAGUACAGAAGAGGAAAGCGGAAUUCCACGUGUAGCGGUGAAAUGCGUAGAGAUGUGGAGGAACACCAGUGGCGAAGGCGGCUUUCUGGUCUGUAACUGACGCUGAGGCGCGAAAGCGUGGGGGGAGCAAACAGGAUUAGAUACCCUGGUAGUCCACGCCGUAAACGAUGAGUGCUAAGUGUUAGGGGGUUUCCGCCCCUUAGUGCUGCAGCUAACGCAUUAAGCACUCCGCCUGGGAGUACGGCCGCAAGGCUG
rnacentral:rRNA from 1 species